UACAGAGGGUGCAAGCGUUAAUCGGAAUUACUGGGCGUAAAGCGUGCGUAGACGGUUACAUAAGUCGGGUGUGAAAGCCCCGGGCUCAACCUGGGAAUUGCAUUCGAGACUGCGUAGCUAGGGUGCGGAAGAGGGAAGCGGAAUUUCCGGUGUAGCGGUGAAAUGCGUAGAUAUCGGAAGGAACACCAGUGGCGAAAGCGGCUUCCUGGUCCAGCACCGACGUUCAGGCACGAAGGCCAGGGGAGCAAACGGG
rnacentral:rRNA from 1 species